ACUCAAAGGAAUUGACGGGGACCCGCACAAGCAGUGGAGCAUGUGGUUUAAUUCGAUGCAACGCGAAGAACCUUACCCAGACUUGACAUGCACAGGACAGUGUCAGAAAUGACAUCUCCCUUCGGGGCCUGUGCACAGGUGCUGCAUGGCUGUCGUCAGCUCGUGCCGUGAGGUGUUGGGUUAAGUCCCGCAACGAGCGCAACCCUUAUCAUUAGUUGCCAACACGUGAAGGUGGGAACUCUAAUGAGACUGCCCGGGUUAACCGGGAGGAAGGUGAGGAUGACGUCAAGUCCGCAUGGCCCUUAUGUCUGGGGCUACACACGUGCUACAAUGGCCGGUACAAAAGGCAGCGAAACUGUGAAGUGAAGCAAAUCCCGAAAGCCGGCCCCAGUUCAGAUUGUAGUCUGCAACUCGACUACAUGAAGAUGGAAUUGCUAGUAAUGGCGAGUCAGCAACAUCGCCGUGAAUACGUUCCCGGGUCUUGCACACACCGCCCGU
rnacentral:rRNA from 1 species